AGCUCCUCACCAACAGUGCAACCUACAGUAUCAAGCAAAAGGAAGGCCUGAAAACAGAUAUGCUGGUGGGCUUGACAGAACAACCUAUAGGAUCCUCACAGACAGCAAGAUCAUACAGAGCCCUUGGCCUUAAAGCUUUAUAGUAUGGCAUGGUGGCAUGAGUGUCAGUGAUGGCAAUGUUUCCCUCCCCCAUUCAGCGAGAACCCUCAAACUAAAGAAUAAAAUCUCCUGGCACAAUAGAAA